rnacentral:rRNA from 1 species
CCUACGGGGGGCUGUAGUGGGGAAUAUUGGACAAUGGGGGGAACCCUGAUCCAGCCAUGCCGCGUGUGUGAAGAAGGCCCUCGGGUUGUAAAGCACUUUCAGUGAGGAAGAACGCCUGGUGGUUAAUACCCAUCAGGAAAGACAUCACUCACAGAAGAAGCACCGGCUAACUCCGUGCCAGCAGCCGCGGUAAUACGGAGGGUGCGAGCGUUAAUCGGAAUUACUGGGCGUAAAGCGCGCGUAGGUGGCUUGAUAAGCCGGUUGUGAAAGCCCCGGGCUCAACCUGGGAACGGCAUCCGGAACUGUCAAGCUAGAGUGCAGGAGAGGAAGGUAGAAUUCCCGGUGUAGCGGUGAAAUGCGUAGAGAUCGGGAGGAAUACCAGUGGCGAAGGCGGCCUUCUGGACUGACACUGACACUGAGGUGCGAAAGCGUGGGUAGCAAACAGGAUUAGAUACCCCUGUAGUC